UUAGUGGCGGACGGGUGAGUAACGCGUGGAAAACCUGCCGUAUACUGGGGGAUAACACUUAGAAAUAGGUGCUAAUACCGCAUAAGCGCACAGCUUCGCAUGAAGCGGUGUGAAAAACUCUGGUGGUAUACGAUGGUUCCGCGUCUGAUUAGCUAGUUGGUGGGGUAAUGGCCUACCAAGGCAACGAUCAGUAGCCGGCCUGGGAGGGUGAACGGCCACAUUGGGACUGAGACACGGCCCAAACUCCUACGGAAGGCAGCAG
rnacentral:rRNA from 1 species